GUGGCUUUGGCGCUAGAGCUCUCGACUCAUAAUCGAGAGGUUCCGUGUUCAAAUGCGCGGCUGGGCAAGAUGAUUUUUCCUUCAUUCGCUUUCUAUGUAACACUUACUCGUAGAUAUUCUAAUAGUCCGUUGCCAAUUCGCAACGUUAAAAAUAUCGAACUUACUGAGAU